rnacentral:rRNA from 1 species
UACAGAGGUCCCAAGCGUUGUUCGGAUUCACUGGGCGUAAAGGGUGCGUAGGUGGUGGGGUAAGUCGGAUGUGAAAGCUCGGAGCUCAACUCCGAAAUGGCAUUGGAUACUACCCUGCUAGAGGAUUGGAGGGGGGACUGGAAUACUUGGUGUAGCAGUGAAAUGCGUAGAUAUCAAGUGGAACACCAGUGGCGAAGGCGAGUCCCUGGACAAUACCUGACACUGAGGCACGAAAGCUAGGGGAGCAAACAGG